AUAAGGUUGUGGUGAAAAGAUGUUUGAAAUUAGAGACAUUUGUAUCCCUAAUUAUGAACAUUACAAUACAUUUUCACGCCAUUUAGAUAAAUUUGAGGAUACAUGUGAAGGCUCAACAUUAGAGUCAAAUCUUUCUUCGACCAAUUGUGAUUACUCAAAUUGUCACGAACAAAUGUAAGAAAAUAUUAUGCCCCCACAUUGUAUGGGGAAAAAGGAGAUCCCCAACAAAAAGGAAGGAUCUGAUUGUAAAAAAGGUUGCAAACAAGAUAAAGAAAAAACAGAAAUGCAACUAUAAGGAUCCUGUGUAAAUAAAGAAGUGAAUGCAUAUAUGCCAAGCACAAAGAUGUCAUUCUACGGAGAAUUUGAGGUCAUUCCAGAAUCUGAGGCAUAUAAACCAAGCACAAAGAUUUCAUUUGGAUUUGAAUGAUUCCUUGAGAGUGAUUGUUGCAAUCUUCCCAUAUUUUUAGAGGAAAUUGUUGUUGUGGAGUUUUUGUAAGCUUUGUUGUGAUAAUGUUGCAUUUCCAAUUCCAUCAUGUGGCAAUGUAAUUUUCAAAGCGGGGCUGUUUUUGUGGCAAUGUAUUUUUCGAACUA